CGCCUGUUUACCAAAAACAUCGCCUCUUGCAAAUCAAAGCAUAAGAGGUCCCGCCUGCCCUGUGACUAUGGGUUUAACGGCCGCGGUAUUUUGACCGUGCGAAGGUAGCGCAAUCACUUGUCUUUUAAAUGAAGACCUGUAUGAAUGGCAUCACGAGGGCUUAGCUGUCUCCUCUUCCAAGUCAAUGAAAUUGAUCUGCCCGUGCAGAAGCGGACAUAAGUACAUAAGACGAGAAGACCCUAUGGAGCUUUAGACACCCGGCAGAUCACGUCAAACAACCUUGAACUAACAAGUAAAAACGCAGUGACCCCUAGCCCAUAUGUCUUUGGUUGGGGCGACCGCGGGGGAAAAUAAAGCCCCCAUGUGGACUGGGGGCACUGCCCCCACAGCCGAGAGCUACAGCUCUAAGCACCAGAAUUUCUGACCAAAAAUGAUCCGGCAAACGCCGAUCAACGGACCGAGUUACCCUAGGGAUAACAGCGCAAUCCUCUCCCAGAGUCCCUAUCGACGAGGGGGUUUACGACCUCGAUGUUGGAUCAGGACAUCCUAAUGGUGCAGCCGCUAUUAAGGGUUCGUUUGUUCAACGAUUAAAGUCCUACGUGAUCUGAGUUCAGACCGG
rnacentral:rRNA from 1 species